GAUCUUUGAUAGGGUUUGGAUUUCAUUCUUAAACUCUGCCAGUAGAUGCCUGUCAUACGUCUGCCACAAAUUCCAAACCAUCAUGAAUCAAUGAAAACUUGUGUCCUUGCCUUACUGUAGAUGUGGCACCUUGACGAGUCAAAUUGCAACUGCCCAGAUGUUAGGCUACCUCUUGGAUGAGGGAGAGUUCUAUCCCCAUAUAAGUGGAGGGCUCCUAAAACUAUCAUCCGUCCAAGACUUUGACCAUUUUUUAGAACUUGAAGUCCCUGUAUUAUUGCAAAGUUUUUUGCUCAUUCUGGUGCUCAAACGGAUAGCACUGUCUGAUCAAUAUGAUCUCUCAAAUAUGCCCCAUCCAGUAGGUGCCCUGCAAUAUAUAAUUUAUCUGGAUUGGCAUGUACUUGACACAUAUACAGUGUAGUGGCAAAGGCACAAUUUUCUGCCUACUGGGAAUAUAGUUGUUGACUUGUUGCUCA